rnacentral:rRNA from 1 species
GAUGAACGCUAGCGGCAGGCUUAAUACAUGCAAGUCGAGGGGUAACAGGUCUGUAGCAAUACAGAUGCUGACGACCGGCAAACGGGUGCGGAACACGUACAGAACCUUCCUUCGAGUGGGAGAUAGCCCAGGGAAACUUGGAGUAAUAUCCCAUAGGAUCAUAGAGUGGCAUCACUUAGUGAUUAAAGAUUUAUCGCUUGAAGAUGGCUGUGCGGCUGAUUAGGUAGUUGGUGUAGGUAACGGCUCACCAAGCCUUCGAUCAGUAACUGGUGUGAGAGCACGACCAGUCACACGGGCACUGAGACACGGGCCCGACUCCUACGGGAGGCAGCAGUAAGGAAUAUUGGGCAAUGGAGGCAACUCUGACCCAGCCAUGCCGCGUGGAGGAUGAAGGUCCUCUGGAUUGUAAACUUCUUUUAUUUGGGAAGAAAUGCCAUUUUUCUAAAUGGUUUGACGGUACCAGAUGAAUAAGCACCGGCUAACUCCGUGCCAGCCGCCGCAGUAACAC